AUGCGAGCUCGCGCACACGCUCACAUCCGAUGCACACACCCUCUCGCGCGCGCACCUACGCUCGCUCACAGGCACAUACUUUCUUGCGUGCGCACAGACUCCGCGCAGACACGCGCGCGCGCUCACACCACGUGCACACGCCCUCUUGCGUACGCACACACCCUCUGGCGCGCGCACACGCUCGCUCGGCAUCCGCGAGGGGCGGAACGCGAGCAGCCCCCGGGGGCCCGGCUGGGCGCGGCCAGGAGAGGGCGCGGCGCGGGGCGGUGCCGGAGUUGUUUGCCGGAGCCCCGGCCGCCAGACUCUCCGGGAGAGCCCCGCCAGCUCGCGCCGGGCCGGGUUGAGCAGGGCCGCCCGGGUCACGCCGGCGCUCGCGACCGAAGCGCGGCGGGGAGCGCACCAUGGACCCCAAGGCGGGUGGCGGCGAGGAGGAUGACUGCGUGGACUCGGGCGCCGAGACUGGAGGGUCCGACUACAGCCAUGUGUCCUCCACCAGCAGUGAGUACUCCACGGAGGAGGCGCAGGACCCUUUCCUGGUCAGCAUCCACAUCAUCGCGGACCCAGGGGAAUCCCGCCCCCUGCAGGAGGCCAUCGACAAGGUCUUGGCGUGGAUCCACCCGGACCUCCCGCUGUUCAGGGUCUCGGAAAGGAGGGCGUGCCGCCGGAGGAGGAGGGUCCCCAAGGCGGCACAGCCGGCGCUGGCGGUGGUGCUCUUCCUGCAGGAGGAAUACGGCGAGGAGCCGAUCCUGCAGCUGCACCGCACGCUGCAGCGGCCUCCCUGGCGCCACCACCACACGGAGCGCGUGCCCGGCAAGUUCCUGCCCUACCUGCCCUGCAGCCAAGACUUCUUCACGCUGGCCCCGGGGACGCCGCUCUGGGCCAUCCGGCCGGUGCACUACGGCAAGGAGAUCGUGCGCUUCACCAUCUACUGUCGCCAUGACAACUACGCCGACAUCCUCAAGUUCUACGAGCUGAUCCUCCGGCGGAGCCCCAGCCAGAAGAAAGCGGACUUCUGCAUCUUCCCCAUUUUCUCCAAUCUGGACGUGGACAUCCAGUUUUCCCUCAAGAGACUGCCCUGUGACCAGACUCCGGUCCCCACUGACUCCUCCGUGCUGGAGUUCCGGGUGAGGGACAUCGGGGAGCUGGUGCCGCUCUUGCCCAACCCUUGCAGCCCCAUCAGUGAGGGGCGCUGGCAGACGGAGGACCAUGACGGCAACAAGAUCCUUCUGCAGGCACAGAAGGGGCACAAGAAGCGCCCUAAACCCGGCAGGGCUCACCAGGCCUCAGAGCAGAAACCGGCCUCCACGUCUUCCCCGCGCGCCACCACGCAGAGCCGGACCCCAGGCCGCCGCCCUCAGCCGCCACUGGACGCGUCACACCCGGGGCUCGGCCAGGCAGGUCCAUCUACCAGGCACCCGCAGGAAUUUGCCAGACGAGCCACCAGCCCUCCCAGCCUCCCCUGGUCUUUCCAGCGAAGCAAGUCCUUGUUUUGUCUGCCCACCGGAGACCCCUUCCCUGCCUCCGCGGCGGAAGCGCAGCCGUCUGCAAGCAUAGGCGGCCGGGGGCAGAGGGCCCCGGAGCGGGGGCAGGGCCACCUCCUCUCCAUCGACGACCUGGAGGGGGCCCAGGAGACGGACGUGGACACGGGGCUGCGGCUGUCCUCCUCCGACCUGUCUGUGGUCUCUGCCUACUCGGCACCCAGCAGGUUCUGCAGCCCCGAGGAAGCGCCGCGCCCCCCGGAACGAGGCAGCAGCCUCUGGUCAGAGCGCAGGGGCUUCAGAGAAGGACCCCUGCCCACUGGGGGCAGCGAGACCGCGGGGGCCUCCUGGGCCACCCUCCCUCUCUUCAAAGGGACUUCAGGCUCCUCGGCCACAGCCGUCACCACUCCCCCAGCUUCGGACACCUCCUCACUCACAGUGUCACCCCCGGAACUCCCUUCCGAUGCCCCCCAGGCCCGGCAGACUGGCAGAGAUGUCCCAGCACCCUCAGUGCCGGCCGGAUGCGGGGACAAUGACCCGGAGGAAUUCUACAUCUGA
rnacentral:lncRNA from 1 species